rnacentral:sRNA from 1 species
UGGAAACAAAGGCAGAGUUGUAGGACAAGGAAGACGACAGAAUCAUCAAGGCGGCAACGGCAUUGGUACUUUUCUUAGAG